UACGGAGGGUGCGAGCGUUGUCCGGAAUCACUGGGCGUAAAGGGCGCGUAGGCGGCCUGAUAAGUAGGGGGUGAAAUCCUGCGGCUUAACCGCAGGGCUGCCUUCUAAACUGUCGGGCUCGAGCACAGUAGAGGCAGGUGGAAUUCCCGGUGUAGCGGUGGAAUGCGUAGAUAUCGGAAGGAACAUCAGUGGCGAAAGCGACUUCCUGGACCAGUACCGACGUUCAGGCACGAAAGCGUGGGGAGCAAACAGG
rnacentral:rRNA from 1 species